GUGUCAGCAGCCGCGGUAAUACGGAGGGUGCAAGCGUUAUCCGGAUUCACUGGGUUUAAAGGGUGCGUAGGUGGGCAGGUAAGUCAGUGGUGAAAUCUUUGGGCUUAACCCGAAAACUGCCAUUGAUACUAUUUGUCUUGAAUAUUGUGGAGGUCAGCGGAAUAUGUCAUGUAGCGGUGAAAUGCUUAGAUAUGACAUAGAACACCAAUUGCGAAGGCAGCUGGCUACACAUAUAUUGACACUGAUGCACGAAAGCGUGGGGAUCAAACAGGAUUAGAAACCCUGGUAGUCC
rnacentral:rRNA from 1 species